CCUACGGGUGGCUGCAGUGAGGAAUAUUGGUCAAUGGACGAGAGUCUGAACCAGCCAAGUAGCGUGAAGGAUGACUGCCCUAUGGGUUGUAAACUUCUUUUAUAAGGGAAUAAAAUGUUGCACGUGUGCGUUUUUGCAUGUACUUUAUGAAUAAGGAUCGGCUAACUCCGUGCCAGCAGCCGCGGUAAUACGGAGGAUCCGAGCGUUAUCCGGAUUUAUUGGGUUUAAAGGGAGCGUAGAUGGGUUGUUAAGUCAGUUGUGAAAGUUUGCGGCUCAACCGUAAAAUUGCAGUUGAUACUGGCAGUCUUGAGUACAGUAGAGGUGGGCGGAAUUCGUGGUGUAGCGGUGAAAUGCUUAGAUAUCACGAAGAACCCCGAUUGCGAAGGCAGCUUACUAGACUGCAACUGACACUGAGGCUCGAAAGUGUGGGUAUCAAACAGGAUUAGAUACCCGGGUAGUC
rnacentral:rRNA from 1 species